UAUUUAACGCGUUAACUGCGGCACCGAAUUUAAAACCCGACACCUAAUAUCCAUCGUUUACAGCGUGGACUACCAGGGUAUCUAAUCCUGUUUGCUACCCACGCUUUCGUACCUUAGCGUKAGUUCUGGUUCAGUUGGCCGCCUUCGCCACCGGUGUUCCUCCAGAUAUCUACGGAUUUCACUCCUACACCUGGAAUUCCGCCAACCUCUCCGAGACUCUAGCACUUCAGUUUCAAACGCAAUUGCUCGGUUGAGCCGAGGGCUUUCACGUCUGAAUUGAAGCGCCGCCUACGCACGCUUUACGCCCAGUGAUUCCGAUUAAAGCUCGCACCCUCCGUAUUAACGCGGCUGCUGGCACGGAGUUAGCCGGUGCUUCCUCUAGAGGUACCGUCAGUGAAUGGCCCUAUUCGAACCAAACAGUUUCUUCCCUCUUGACAGUAGUUUACGACCCGAAGCCUUCUUCCUACACGCGGCGUCGCUGCUCAGGGUUUUCGCCAUUGCGCAAUAUUCCCCACUGCUGCCUCCCGUAGAGUAUGGGCCGUGUUUCAGUCCCAGUGUGGCUGAUCAUCCUCUCAGACCAGCUACUCAUCGUUGCCUUGN
rnacentral:rRNA from 1 species